CCUGAUGCAGCGACGCCGCGUGAGGGAUGACGGCCUUCGGGUUGUAAACCUCUUUCAGCAGGGACGAAGCGAGAGUGACGGUACCUGCAGAAGAAGCGCCGGCCAACUACGUGCCAGCAGCCGCGGUAAGACGUAGGGCGCGAGCGUUGUCCGGAUUUAUUGGGCGUAAAGAGCUCGUAGGCGGCUUGUCGCGUCGAAUGUGAAAUCUCAGGGCUCAACUCUGACAUUGCAUUCGAUACGGGCAGGCUAGAGUUCGGUAGGGGAGACUGGAAUUCCUGGUGUAGCGGUGAAAUGCGCAGAUAUCAGGAGGAACACCGGUGGCGAAGGCGGGUCUCUGGGCCGAUACUGACGCUGAGGAGCGAAAGCGUGGGGAGCGAACAGGAUUAGAUACCCUGGUAGUCCACGCUGUAAACGUUGGGCGCUAGGUGUGGGGACCCUCUCCGGGUUUCUGCGCCGCAGCUAACGCAUUAAGCGCCCCGCCUGGGGAGUACGGCCGCAAGGCUAAAACUCAAAGGAAUUGACGGGGGCCCGCACAAGCGGCGGAGCAUGCGGAUUAAUUCGAUGCAACGCGAAGAACCUUACCUGGGUUUGACAUCGCCGGAAAACUCGUAGAGAUACGGGGGUCCUUCGGGG
rnacentral:rRNA from 1 species